UACGUAGGGGGCAAGCGUUAUCCGGAUUUACUGGGUGUAAAGGGAGCGCAGGCGGCGCGUUAAGUCUGAUGUGAAAACCCGCGGCUCAACUGCGGGACUGCAUUGGAAACUGGCGCGCUUGAGUGCCGGAGAGGCAAGCGGAAUUCCUAGUGUAGCGGUGAAAUGCAUAGAUAUCGCGCAGAACUCCGAUUGCGAAGGCAGCAUGCCGGCUCCACACUGACGCUGAGGCACGAAAGCGUGGGUAUCGAACAGG
rnacentral:rRNA from 1 species